AUGUCUCUGCGAGUGACACGGAUGUAUAGCAAUUUGCAAUUAAAAACGUGAUUAUUUGUCUCUCUGCAAUUAAACCAGUGACAGAUUUUAAACAAAUACAUGUCUGUCAUUGAACAAACCCAUGCCAUGGUUAGAUAAUGGAAAAACACACCAAUCUCUUUCAGAAUUUCUUUAUACAAUAAACGCUCAUUUACCAACAUUUCUGAACAUGGAUGUAUUCUGUUUUGGAAUUAAUCUCUUGAAAUGUAUUCACAUUUAGUGAAACAUGAGAUAUAAUGAAAGUACUCUAUGUUUGUUUCUUUUGUAGAGCACAAAUAUUGUCAAGCAAUGGGGAAGACCACAUUGAGAACUGUAAUUGUCUGUGUAUCCACAGUGUAUAGUGCUUUAGGUUGUGUAGUGACAGGCCCAGACCAGAAGAAGGUUCCUGUGGGCUCUAAUGUUCGACUGUCCUGCGACCUCACUCAGUGUUUGAAAAGUCUGGGACAUCACCAAAUCAGUGCGGAGUGGGAGUUCAUUGACAAGGGCUCAAUGGAUAAAGCCCGGCACUCUCUCAUAUACCACUACCAUAACCAAACUGUCACCGUUGAACCCAGAGUGUCUCUGGUUGGGAACAUCUCUGAAGGUGACUUCUCGCUCCUGCUGCUGUCGGUGACAGUCCAAAGUAGUGGCACCUACCUGUGUCGCCUGCGUUCUCCACAUGGCUAUUCAGACAUCCAUGAGAGUCACACACAGGUCACAGUGGUGGAGAGAUCAGGGCAGCACAGGAGUUUCCCAGGAGAUCUCCAUAAACCUGGUGUAAACCAUCCUGAUUGGCUGUUGCCUCUCUGCUGCGUGCUUUUUUCACUCUUCCUGGUGGGCGGAGUCACAGUGGGAAUAUGCGUGUGUCGGAGGAGGUCACCGCGGCAACAAAACGACAAGUGUCACAUCCAGGUGAACGUAACACGCGGAGAAGACACACGGGAAGCCAAUGGAAACAAACUGUGUAACAUUUCCCUCUGUAACACGGACUGUACCUGCUCACUCUAACACGACCACAGGACACAAACUGCUAUGUCACGCUCCAGAGGCUCAGGGCCCCGCCCCCUCCCACACCCUCUAGAGGAGAGGGCAUCUACGUUACCAUGCACGGCACUCCGGCUGGGCCUUCAGGUGUCCAUUCCAAGCCCCAGACUCACCCCAGCAGAAAGACUCUCCCAGAGGAGUGGCGGCAACAGGAAAUACCCACAAAGCCCCAACACUGCCCUUGAACACCUCCAACCAACCCCUCCUCAGAAGACUCAGACACAGGGAACUGCUGUGUUGAGACUAUCAGCUCGCCGAUUUCAAAUCCACCAUUGUUCCUUUGCGCCAUUGCCGAAGAACCACUGUGUUUGGUUCAUUUCAAAAGGGGUGAAAAUCUGUUACUUUGGAAGAGAAUCAAGAACCACCUAUAUCCAAAUUGAUCUCUGACACUAUAAUCAGAGUGGUUAUUGAAGUUAGGAAAAAGAAGAUUCUUAUAAUUGAGUUAUAUCAAGAUAACGUAUUACGAUUACUUAGAAGAUCCUUCCUUCUUGCUAAUAGUCCCCUGGGUGCAGAGGAGCCCUCUCAGCUCUUAAGUGUAACCCUAACAGAGAUUAAACAGUUAUUAUUGUUGACCGGUACCGAUUUUAAAAACAGGAAGUGGGGAGAGAGGUAAUCGUGCACAUGGUUUCAUCCACCAGCUGUAACACUCUGUAGCAAUUACCCUGGGGACAUCCCACAGGAUAUAUACAGGACAUUCACAGGACAUUGCAUAGGACAUUCACAAACCAUGCACAGGACAAUCCAUUACAUGUGCCCUCCCUAUAGAUACUUUUUUGCAAGGGUGUGAUUUGUUUUUCCUGACUUACUGUCUUGGUGUGAAGUUUGUAAGUUGUUUUUUUAUCGC